rnacentral:rRNA from 1 species
UUGCUACUUUGCCGGCGAGCGGCGGACGGGUGAGUAAUGUCUGGGAAACUGCCCGAUGGAGGGGGAUAACCACUGGAAACGGUGGCUAAUACCGCAUAACGUCUUCGGACCAAAGUGGGGGACCUUCGGGCCUCACACCAUCGGAUGUGCCCAGAUGGGAUUAGCUAGUAGGUGGGGUAAUGGCUCACCUAGGCGACGAUCCCUAGCUGGUCUGAGAGGAUGACCAGCCACACUGGAACUGAGACACGGUCCAGACUCCUACGGGAGGCAGCAGUGGGGAAUAUUGCACAAUGGGCGCAAGCCUGAUGCAGCCAUGCCGCGUGUGUGAAGAAGGCCUUCGGGUUGUAAAGCACUUUCAGCGAGGAGGAAGGGUAGUGUCUUAAUACGGCAUUACAUUGACGUUACUCGCAGAAGAAGCACCGGCUAACUCCGUGCCAGCAGCCGCGGUAAUACGGAGGGUGCAAGCGUUAAUCGGAAUUACUGGGCGUAAAGCGCACGCAGGCGGUUUGUUAAGUCAGAUGUGAAAUCCCCGAGCUUAACUUGGGAACUGCAUUUGAAACUGGCAGACUAGAGUCUCGUAGAGGGGGGUAGAAUUCCAGGUGUAGCGGUGAAAUGCGUAGAGAUCUGGAGGAAUACCGGUGGCGAAGGCGGCCCCCUGGACGAAGACUGACGCUCAGGUGCGAAAGCGUGGGGAGCAAACAGGAUUAGUAGCC